rnacentral:rRNA from 1 species
UGGGGAAUAUUGCACAAUGGGGGAAACCCUGAUGCAGCGACGCCGCGUGAACGAAGAAGGUAUUCGUAUCGUAAAGUUCUGUCCUAUGGGAAGAUAAUGACAGUACCAUAGAAGAAAGCUCCGGCUAAAUACGUGCCAGCAGCCGCGGUAAUACGUAUGGAGCGAGCGUUGUCCGGAAUUAUUGGGCGUAAAGGGUACGCAGGCGGUUUAAUAAGUCGAAUGUUAAAGAUCGGGGCUCAACCCCGCAAAGCAUUGGAAAUUGAUAAACUUGAGUAGUGGAGAGGAAAGUGGAAUUCCUAGUGUAGUGGUGAAAUACGUAGAUAUUAGGAGGAAUACCAGUAGCGAAGGCGACUUUCUGGACACAAACUGACGCUGAGGUACGAAAGCGUGGGGAGCAAACAGG